rnacentral:tRNA from 5 species
UCUAUAGGAAUACUAGGAUUUAUAGUAUGAAGUUGUGUUAUGGCUUCACCCUAUAGUGAUAUAGGG